rnacentral:lncRNA from 1 species
AUGAAUGAAAAAAUGAGUGAAAAGAUAAGUGAAAAGAUAAGUGAAAAAAUGAGUGAAUAUGUGGGUGAAGAAGUUGGUAAAGAUGUUGGUGACGGAGCGGAUGAAAAGAGUUGUCGAAAAAAUUCAAAAUUAUACGCUACAAAUAAAAACAAAAUAAUUAAUAAUAUGAACAAGCAAGACAUAUCUGAAAAAAACCUAAACUUUAAGAAAAGUCAACAGCAACAAAAAAAUGCAAACCAAAGCGAUAGCAACAUAACAAACAAAAAAAACGAUUGCCAGAAAUUUGUUAAUAAAAAACGAAGUUUGUCUUUAAAUAGUAAACAAAAAGAAAUUAAACAUAAACAGUUAGAAAUGAUAAAAAUAAUUAGAAAUCAACAAAUAAUAGACUUUGCAGAAUUAAAAAAAAGAAAAAAAAAGAGAGAAGAAAAAUGUAAACAAGAGUUUUACGAAAUGCGAAAAAAAUAUAAACAAAAAAAUUAUAAAGCAAAAAUAAUGACAUUAAUACAUUGUAUUAUACAGAAUAUUAAACCUAAAAAUAAAAAUUAUUACUACAAGGUUAUUAAUAUAAUAAAAAAUGGUAUAGAAAAUAUGUUUUUAAAUUUGCUUAAUGAGCAGCAAACUGUUACUUGUGCAGACGUUCACACUAAGUUGGGUGUCCAAAAUGUGAACGAAACAAACACUGCACCUUGUCACGCUCAGAAUAAUAAUGUCGUUAAUCCGGACAUAAAUAAUAACACUAAUGAUGAUAUGUUUUUAAAUAAUACUACCAACAUUGUUGAUAGUGUUGGCAGGGUUGACAGUGUUGAUAGUGUUGAUAGUGGUGAUACUACCAAUAAUAAUGACGAGCAUGUAAACAGCGUUAAUAACCGAACUGAAAAAAAUAAUCAUACAAAUAUAUUAAAAGACGUUUUUACCAAUAUUUAUAAAAAAAAAGAAAUUUUAUUUCUUAUAGAAAAUUUUAUAAAAACCAAUAUUAAAAAUCAAAAGAAAAAAAAAACGGUAAAUCAUACACAGAUAAAUGGUUCAGUAAAUGGUUCAGCAAAUGGUUCAGCAAAUGAACAGCAAACAACAGUGUCGACUUCUACUCUUCCACAUGCACCAUCUUCAAAAAAAAAAAAAAACGUUUACGCCUCCAUUUUACUACUAUGCAACUUCAAAUUAUACAAAAAGAAAUUUCUUAGUAAGUUUAAUACGGAGCAUGUUUAUUUAUUAUUGUUUUUUGUGUAUUAUUUGAGUACAAUUAUGGGUAUACUUUUAAAUAAGGCUUUGCAAAAAAAAUAA